rnacentral:rRNA from 1 species
UCAAAUUUGAAAUCUGGCAUCUUUGGUGUCCGAAUUGUAAUUUGGAGAGGCAACUUCAGGUAGGACCCAGUCUAUGUUCCUUGGAACAGGACGUCAUAGAGGGUGAGAAUCCCGUUCUUGACUGGAUGUUCUUGCUAGUAUGUAGUGCCUUCUACGAGUCGAGUUGUUUGGGAAUGCAGCUCAAAAUGGGUGGUAAAUUUCAUCUAAAGCUAAAUAUUGGCGAGAGACCGAUAGCGCACAAGUAGAGUGAUCGAAAGAUGAAAAGCACUUUGAAAAUAGAGUCAAAAAGUACGUGAAAUUGUUGAAAGGGAAGCGCUUGAGACCAGACUCAGCCUUUGGCAAACAAGUGUCCUUCUGGGCAGUGCACUUGCCUCAGGUUGGGCCAGUAUCAGUUAGGAUGGUAGGAGAAAGGCUAGGGGAAUGUGACUCCGAUCUGGAGUGUUAUAGACCCUGGCGUCAUGCUACCUGUCCUGACUGUGGACCGCGCGUUAGCUAGGAUACUGGCGUAAUGGUCUUCAGCGGCCCGUCUUGAC